rnacentral:rRNA from 1 species
UACGUAGGGACCGAGCGUUGUCCGGAAUCAUUGGGCGUAAAGAGCGUGUAGGCGGCUUGGCAAGUCUGGUGUGAAAUCUUGCGGCUCAACCGCAAGCGGUCACUGGAAACUGCCUCGCUAGAGUCCGGAAGAGGAGAGCGGAAUUCCUGGUGUAGCGGUGGAAUGCGCAGAUAUCAGGAGGAACACCCGGUGGCGAAGGCGGCCAUCU